UAUGGAUAAACAAGUAGUAGAGAUGUAAUAAUGAAAAAAGAGAUAAUCAAUAAUGGAAAGAUUCUAUUCUUUUAUCACCUUGCAAAGUUAAUAAUGCGGUCUACAAGAGUCUACCAAAGGAUGGAUGGUACCAAAAGGUUGGACAGUUCCAGUUCCAACCUCGGCUGUAAAAUCUCCAUCCUCAUUUGAUGGAUGCAAGCAUGAAAAUAACGACUCUCUGGUGUUCCGAGAAAAUAAUAAUGAUCCUAUUAAUAACGCCAUCAAUGGGAACCUGAAAGCUGGGCAUGCUGUCCUGAUAAGCCACGCACUAAGCCACCUAUUUUAGAAGCCACCAUCACAAAAGUCCGUCGAGUGCACCCCGG
rnacentral:lncRNA from 1 species